CUUGGAGGGUUAAUAUAAAUUUUUCAAAAUUCUGUAGGUUGUGCAAUCUCAGGCCUGAUAAUUGUUGUUAUUGUAAUUAAAAGACGUCUGUGUAAUAUAAAGGAGAUUUCUGUGUGAAAGGAGUCUGUGAUGUGAUGUCUCUUUUGGUGGGUCCAAGUAAGAUGUUUUAGGAUUUUUAGAUGGGUUUUGUUUCAGUUUGAGAUAAUAUAUACAGUUACAUUUGGUGUUUCUCAGGUAUUGUGGUUGACUUUGAGUGAUACAUAUAGGUGUAAGUCGUUUGAUGUUUGUUGGGCAAAGGAGGACUUUAGAAGAUUGUAAGUGGUUUUUACUUUAGUCCGAUAAUAUAUAAGUAGUUAG